UACGGAGGGUGCAAGCGUUGUUCGGAUUUAUUGGGCGUAAAGCGCGUGUAGGCGGUCUUCUAAGUCUGAUGUGAAAGCCCUGGGCUCAACCCAGGAAGUGCAUUGGAUACUGGACGACUUGAAUACGGGAGAGGGUAGUGGAAUUCCUAGUGUAGGAGUGAAAUCCGUAGAUAUCUGGAGGAACACCGGUGGCGAAGGCGGCAUCCUGGACCAACACUGACGCUGAGGAGCGAAAGCCAGGGGAGCAAAGCGGG
rnacentral:rRNA from 1 species